rnacentral:misc_RNA from 1 species
UACGACGGGGGUUAGCGUUGUUCGGAAUUACUGGGCGUAAAGCGCAUGCAGGCGGAUCGCUAAGUGGGGGGUGAAAGCCCGAGGCUCAAGCUCGGAACUGCCUUCGAUACUGGCGAUCUCGAGUCCGGGAGAGGUUAGUGGAACUCCGAGUGUAGAGGUGAAAUUCGUAGAUAUUCGGAAGAACACCAGUGGCGAAGGCGGCUCACUGGCCCGGUACUGACGCUGAGAUGCGAAAGCGUGGGGAGCAAACAUG